UACAGAGGUCCCAAGCGUUGUUCGGAUUCACUGGGCGUAAAGGGUGCGUAGGUGGUUAGGUAAGUCUGAUGUGAAAUCUCUGGGCUCAACCCAGAAACUGCAUUGGAUACUAUCUAGCUAGAGGAGUGGAGGGGGGACUGGAACACUUGGUGUAGCAGUGAAAUGCGUAGAUAUCAAGUGGAACACCAGUGGCGAAGGCGAGUCCCUGGACACUUCCUGACACUGAGGCACGAAAGCUAGGGGAGCAAACAGG
rnacentral:rRNA from 1 species